AUUGAACGCUGGCGGCAGGCCUAACACAUGCAAGUCGAGCGAGCGGCGGACGGGUGAGUAAUGUAUGGGGAACUGGCUGAUGGCGGGGGAUAACUACUGGAAAAGGUAGCUACAACCGCAUACCGUACGAUGAACCGAUGUGGGAGUAGGUAGUAGGUGAGGUAACGGCUUACCUAGGCGAAGAUCCCUAGCUGGUCUGAGAGGAUGAUCGGCCACACUGGGACUGAGACACGGCCCAGACUCCUACGUGAGGCAGCAGUGGGGAAUAUGGCACAAUGGGCGCAAGCCGGAUGCAGCCAUGCCGCGUGUGUGAAGAAGGCCUUCGGGUUGUAAAGUGCUGUCAGUCGGGAGGCGUUACCGACAGAGGAAGCACCGGCUAACUCCGUGCCAGCAGCCGCGGUAAUAC
rnacentral:rRNA from 1 species